rnacentral:lncRNA from 1 species
AUUUAGUUCAGUGCUUAGUAAGCGUUCGACAGAUGGUGACCAUAAUGUCAUCAUUAGUGUAGAAGAGGAGGGAAGAAGCAAUUGUCUUGAACCACGGCUGCUGAGUUCUGUAUCUCGCUUCCAACCACUAAAUGAUGCAGACAGAACUAUCUAAUUCCAGAACUCAUACUCCUUCCAUCAGAGCCGGUGACCAGGAUAAACAUGGCAAAGUUCAUAACCUGAGCCUACUUACCACAUCACAUUGGGAGAGAGAAAUGGUGAACCGUGAACAAUGUUUAUCUCAUUAAACGGGUCCACGGAUCUCCCCUGUGUAUACUCCCUAGCCCCCAGGUUAAGAACCUCUGUUGUAGAAAAACACCUGGAAGAGACAAGGAAACGUGUGUUUACAUAUGAAAGCCACUUUCGUCAUAGUCAGAAGACCUGAAGUCUUUUCUGGCCCAUGGCAAGAUACACAGAAACAUGGAUGUGCGUGUUUUAAUUAUUGCUGAUAGCUGUCUGAAAGUCAAAAAACACUCCAAGGAGAAAGGGAUGGAAAAUGUCUUCCCAGCGGUACCCACCUGAGAGCAGUGUGGCAGGAGGUCAUGGAGAAUGCAGCUCGUCCUUGAACUGUUUCAUCCAGUUUGGGAAAAUGUUGCUCUAUAGUGAUAUUCACAAGUGUGAGCAGUUGUGAAGCUAGUGGCAUUUAUCCCCUGGAAGAGGGCCACACCAGUGUGAAACCUGUGUCACCCUGUGUGAGGACAGUUUGACGUGAGGAGCUGUGACAUCCCGGUUGCUAACAUGUCUUCUCUCAUUCACCACGCACUUGCUCCUUCCCAAUUCACAAAACUUGUACCUAAAAUUUGGGAAAUAAAAAUAUAUUUUUAAAACUGGUGACUUUUGAAGGGAAAUAUUGCAAGCUCUAUUUUAAUUUCUAAGGCUGUAGAAGUCAGAGGAAAAAGAAAAAUAAAGAAAAAGAAGAUAGGAAGAAAGAAAUAAUAGAAAUGAAAGAAUAAAUUAAC